UUGGAUGUGUGCGGCGUCGGUUCGCUCCUGGCGCGUCAGCGAAAUGUCCUGCCGGUGGCGGUUUUGGUCGGCCGUCGGCCCCUGGCUCAGUGUCGAGGCGGACCGGCACGUUUACUUUGAACAAAUUAGAGUGCUCAAAGCAGGCAAGCAAAGUGUGACGGGAGGCCCGGCCGCCUGAAUACUGUGUGCAUAGAAUAACUGAAUAGGACGUCGGUUCCAGAGGUUAAGUGGUUUUCGGAACGACGUAAUGAUUAACAGGGACGGGCGGGGGCAUUCGUAUUGCGACGUUAGAGGUGAAAUUCUUAGAUCGUCGCAAGACGAACCGAAGCGAAAGCGUUUGCCAAGUACGUCCCCGUUGAUCAAGAACGAAAGUUAGAGGUUCGAAGGCGAUCAGAUACCGCCCUAGUUCUAACCAUAAACGAUGUCAGCCAGCGAUCCACUAACGUUCCUCCGAUGACUUAGUGGGCAGCCGGGAAACCAAGCUUUUGGAUUCCAGGGGAAGUAUGGUUGCAAAGCUGAAACUUAAAGGAAUUGACGGAAGGGCACCACCAGGAGUGGAGCCUGCGGCUUAAUUUGACUCAACACGGGAAAACUCACCAGGCCCGGACACCGGAGGGAUUGACAGAUUGAGAGCUCUUUCUU
rnacentral:rRNA from 4 species